CCUGUUUCCUGUUUAGUUUCACUUUCUGUGAAGUUGUUGCGAAGAUAUUUUUCUACACCUGAACCUCCAGCUGAAGCCUUUCCUACCUGGCCUGCUGCCAUUCCAGGUGUGGCUCUGACUGAUUCCAGGAAAUCAUCUGCGCGUGGAUGCCUUUUCUCUGCAGGCGUCAAGUGAAAGUGGAUGUGAGUUGAGCAGCAUGAGUCAGUGUGAGGACAGAGAGGAGGGAGUCC